rnacentral:rRNA from 1 species
UUAAAUUGAAGAGUUUGAUCAUGGCUCAGAUUGAACGCUGGCGGCAGGCCUAACACAUGCAAGUCGAACGGUAACAGAAAGCAGCUUGCUGCUUUGCUGACGAGUGGCGGACGGGUGAGUAAUGUCUGGGAAACUGCCUGAUGGAGGGGGAUAACUACUGGAAACGGUAGCUAAUACCGCAUAACGUCGCAAGACCAAAGAGGGGGACCUUCGGGCCUCUUGCCAUCGGAUGUGCCCAGAUGGGAUUAGCUAGUAGGUGGGGUAACGGCUCACCUAGGCGACGAUCCCUAGCUGGUCUGAGAGGAUGACCAGCCACACUGGAACUGAGACACGGUCCAGACUCCUACGGGAGGCAGCAGUGGGGAAUAUUGCACAAUGGGCGCAAGCCUGAUGCAGCCAUGCCGCGUGUAUGAAGAAGGCCUU